GGGGAAUAUUGGGCAAUGGGCGCAAGCCUGACCCAGCAACGCCGCGUGAAGGAAGAAGGCUUUCGGGUUGUAAACUUCUUUUGUCAGGGACGAAAAAAAUGACGGUACCUGACGAAUAAGCCACGGCUAACUACGUGCCAGCAGCCGCGGUAAUACGUAGGUGGCAAGCGUUAUCCGGAUUUACUGGGUGUAAAGGGCGUGUAGGCGGGAAAGCAAGUCAGAUGUGAAAACUAUGGGCUCAACCCAUAGCCUGCAUUUGAAACUGUUUUUCUUGAGUGAAGUAGAGGUUGGCGGAAUUCCUAGUGUAGCGGUGAAAUGCGUAGAUAUUAGGAGGAACACCAGUGGCGAAGGCGGCCAACUGGGCUUUUACUGACGCUGAGGCUCGAAAGCGUGGGGAGCAAACA
rnacentral:rRNA from 1 species